UAUGCAGUGAGGAUAUUGGUCAAUUGGCUUUCGGCUGAACCAGCAACUUGGAGGAAUGUAUAGGGAAAACUGGUAAAAUGUGAUGUACCUAGUAAUAUUAGAAAUUAAUAUGAGAUUAACUAAGUUAAUUAAAAUUCUAAGUAGAUAUAUGAUUAUGACAAUAUCUGCUGAGGUCUUGACCAAGUCACGUGCCAGCAGUCGCGGUAAUACGUGGAAGACGAGUGUUAUUCAUCUUUAUUAGGUAUAAAGGGUACCUAGACGGUUAAUUAAGCAAAAACAUGUACUAAUUAACUAGAGUUUAAUGUAAGAAGGAUUGAGUACAAUGAGUGGAGAGAUAAAAUUCUUUGAUACCAAUUCGGAACUGGUAAAGGCGAAGGCAACCUUCUAUGUAAAAACUGACGUUAAGGGACGAAGGCUUAUGUGAAAAAACAGGAUUAGAUACCCUAGUAUUGUGAGCAGAAAAUGAUGAGUGUCAUAUGCAAGAUAUUUUUUGUGUAUAAAUGAAAGUGUAAGCACUCCACCUCAAGAGUAACGUGGCAACAUGGGAACUGAAAUCAUUAGACCGUUUCUGAAACUCGUAGUGAAGUAUGUUGUUUAAUUUGAUGAUCCCCAAAUAACCUUACCACAAUUUGUAUAACUAUUUUAGUUUAUAAAAUAGCUACAAGCGUUGCACGGCUGUCUUCAGUCAAUGUUGUGAAAUUUUGGUUAGAUCCAAAAAAUUGACGUAAACCCUUACUUUAUUUAUUAUAAAGUAGUUCGCCGCUAUAUUGGUAGUGAUAUAUGGGACUAAGACAAGUCAUCAUGACCCGAACAUUGUGGGCUAUAGACGUGCC
rnacentral:rRNA from 1 species